GCCCGCUUGGCUCAGUUGGUUAGAGCGCAGGUCUCAUAUUGCAAAUAUGAGUAACUUUAUCGUUACGCAAUCCUGAGGUCGCAAGUUCGAACCUUGCAGCGGGCA